UAAAAAGGAGUGUGACUUGCACAUAGAAAUUUGAAUUCUAUAGAAAAAAUUAAAAUUUUUCUUUUUAA
rnacentral:tRNA from 1 species